rnacentral:rRNA from 1 species
CCCUACGGGAGGCAGCAGGGAAUAUUGGGCAAUGGGCGCAAGCCUGACCCAGCAACGCCGCGUGAAGGAAGAAGGCUUUCGGGUUGUAAACUUCUUUUAAGAGGGAAGAGAAGAAGACGGUACCUCUUGAAUAAGCCACGGCUAACUACGUGCCAGCAGCCGCGGUAAUACGUAGGUGGCAAGCGUUGUCCGGAUUUACUGGGUGUAAAGGGCGUGCAGCCGGGCUGACAAGUCAGAUGUGAAAUCCCGCGGCUCGACCGCGGAACUGCAUUUGAAACUGUUUUUCUUGAGUACCGGAGAGGUCA